AGAAAGAGAAAAUUGAUUUAUUCAAUAAUAAAGGAUUAUUUUAAUUCAAUCCCAAAAGGUAUUUUCACCUUAUUUAAUCUGAUUUUUUUGGCGCGAAAAUACUCAUAAAAGAAACUUAUGAGUUGAGAGUGUGACAAAAAUCUCUCUGUGAUUUGAUUGGGGCCCAAAUGAGAAGCUUAGGGUUUCGUCCUCCCCAAUCUUCCGAGGAAUUGGCUUGGCUUCCAGCUUGUCUGCAACGAAUCACAGAUUCCUCAGUGCAGCCCAGAAGCCCUUCUCACCAACAAUUUAAUGUUCUCUGUUUUGGGAUUAAUUUUUACAAUUUGAUUUGUUCUUGUUCUUUUUGAGCAUUUCUUUCAUAUACGCAAGAAGAUAAUUUUACUUACUUCGGUUGAAAUUUGGCGAAAUAGUUGCCGUUAUUACUUUUGCAAAUUUUGAGUUUUCGUGUAACUUUAAGUUUUUCUUUUCUAUCUGCCAGAUGAUAAUUUUAUCUUGUUUGGUUGAAAUUUGAAACUGUUGUGCGUUAAAUUUGGUGAAAUAAUAAUUAUGCUUUUUGAAAUAGGAGUUUUCAUGUAUACAAGAAGAAGAUUCAGAAUUGCUGCUGUUUAAUUUUAUCAGCUACAAACAAACAAAUUCCUGAUGCAUAUGCGGUGAAUUCAUUAAUUCUAAAAGAUAAGCGGCUUACUGAUUCAGUUACAGCUGGUUCUGCGUUAGCACCUGAACAAUACAUGGUUCUGUUGAAUCAAUGAGAAACUAGGCUUACAAGAAUUGGGAAGCCUGUACGUCAUGAUAACAAUGGCAAUUUUUUUGAUGGAGUAGGAGUUAUGCUUCAUGGGAGGCCACAUUUCUGUACCAAAUUUGCAAAAGUAAUCCAG